rnacentral:rRNA from 1 species
UGCCAGACUCCUACGGGAGGCAGCAGUCGGGAAUAUUGCACAAUGGAGGAAACUCUGAUGCAGUGACACCGCGUAUAGGAAGAAGGUUUUCGGAUUGUAAACUAUUUUAGACAGGGAAGAAAAAAGACAGUACCUGUAGAAUAAGCUCCGGCUAACUACGUGCCAGCAGCCGCGGUAAUACGUAGGGAGCAAGCGUUAUCCGGAUUUACUGGGUGUAAAGGGCGUGUAGGCGGGACUGCAAGUCAGAUGUGAAAACCAUGGGCUCAACCUGUGGCCUGCAUUUGAAACUGUAGUUCUUGAGUACUGGAGAGGCAGACGGAAUUCCUAGUGUAGCGGUGAAAUGCGUAGAUAUUAGGAGGAACACCAGUGGCGAAGGCGGUCUGCUGGACAGCAACUGACGCUGAGGCGCGAAAGCAUGGGGAGCAAACAGGAUUAGAUACCCCUGUA